rnacentral:rRNA from 1 species
UAUGAAUGGCAUCACGAGGGCUUAACUGUCUCCCUCUCCCAGUCAAUGAAAUUGAUCUCCCCGUGCAGAAGCGGGGAUAACAACAUAAGACRAGAAGACCCUAUGGAGCUUAAGGCGCCAGGACAGCUCACGUUAAACACCCCUUCAUAAAGGAAAAAACCAAGUGAAUCCGGCCCUAGUGUCUUUGGUUGGGGCGACCGCGGGGAAAAACAAAACCCCCAUGUGGAGUAGGAACACUAUGUUCCUAGAUCUAAGAGCUCCCGCUCUAAUAAACAGAACUUCUGACCAACAAGAUCCGGCAAUGCCAAUAAACGGACCGAGUUACCCUAGGGAUAACAGCGCAUUCCUCUUAAAGAGCCCUUAUCGACAAGGGGGUUUACGACCUCGAUUUUGGAUCAGGACAUCCUAAUGGUGCACCCGCUAUAAAGGGUUCGUUUGUUCAACGAUAAAGGUCCUACGUGAUCUGAGUUCAGACCGGAGGU